rnacentral:tRNA from 1 species
GGUCAUAGCUCAGUGGUAGAGCAUUUGCCUCAGAUGUGUGAGGCCCUGGGUUCAAUCCUCAGCACCA